rnacentral:tRNA from 7 species
CGAGGUGUAACUCAGUUUGGCUAGAGUGCCUGCUUUGGGAGCAGGAUGCCGCAGGUUCAAGUCCUGUCACCUCGACCA